rnacentral:rRNA from 1 species
UACGAAGGGGGCUAGCGUUGUUCGGAAUUACUGGGCGUAAAGCGUGCGCAGGCGGCUUCUCAAGUCAGGGGUGAAAGCCCAGAGCUCAACUCUGGAAUUGCCUUUGAGACUGAGUGGCUUGAGUACGAGAGAGGUGAGUGGAAUUCCCGGUGUAGAGGUGAAAUUCGUAGAUAUUGGGAAGAACACCGGUGGCGAAGGCGGCUCACUGGCUCGUAACUGACGCUCAUGCACGACAGCGUGGGGAUCAAACCGG